rnacentral:rRNA from 1 species
UACAGAGGUCUCAAGCGUUGUUCGGAUUCAUUGGGCGUAAAGGGUGCGUAGGUGGCGCGGUAAGUCGGGUGUGAAAUUUCGGAGCUUAACUCCGAAACUGCAUUCGAUACUGCCGUGCUUGAGGACUGGAGAGGAGACUGGAAUUACGGUGUAGCAGUGAAAUGCGUAGAGAUCGUAAGGGAAGACCAGUGGCGGAAGGCGGGUCUCUGGACAGUUCCUGACACUGAGGCACGAAGGCCAGGGGAGCAAACGGG